rnacentral:rRNA from 1 species
CAGUCGCCGCGGUAAUACGAAGGGUGCAAGCGUUAAUCGGAAUUACUGGGCGUAAAGCGUGCGUAGGCGGUGAGUUAAGUCUGCUGUGAAAUCCCCGGGCUCAACCUGGGAAUGGCAGUGGAUACUGGCUCGCUAGAGUGUGUCAGAGGAUGGUGGAAUUCCCGGUGUAGCGGUGAAAUGCGUAGAGAUCUGGAGGAAUACCUAUGGCGAAGGCAGCCAUCUGGCCUAAUACUGACGCUGAGGUACGAAAGCAUGGGGAGCAAACAGGAUUAGAUACCCGUGUAGUCCCUGUCUCUUAUAC